rnacentral:rRNA from 1 species
AGGACGAACGCUGGCGGCGUGCUUAACACAUGCAAGUCGAACGAGAAUCUGUGGAUCGAGGAUUCGUCCAAGUGAAGCAGAGGACAGUGGCGGACGGGUGAGUAACGCGUGGGUAACCUGCCUCAUACAGGGGGAUAACAGUUGGAAACGACUGCUAAUACCGCAUAAGCGCACAGGAUUGCAUGAUCCAGUGUGAAAAACUCCGGUGGUAUGAGAUGGACCCGCGUCUGAUUAGCCAGUUGGCGGGGUAACGGCCCACCAAAGCGACGAUCGGUAGCCGGACUGAGAGGUUGAACGGCCACAUUGGGACUGAGACACGGCCCAGACUCCUACGGGAGGCAGCAGUGGGGAAUAUUGCACAAUGGGGGAAACCCUGAUGCAGCGACGCCGCGUGGAGGAAGAAGGUCUUCGGAUUGUAAACUCCUGUUGUUGAGGAAGAUAAUGACGGUACUCAACAAGGAAGUGACGGCUAACUACGUG